CGUUCUGUGAAAGCGUUCAACCGUUUGCGCCUUUGUGUCAGAAGACGUUGCAAAAUGUAUAAUAUUAUGCUGUCUCAUUAAUUUCUGGAAAUGUUUGUUAAAAAAUUCUUUCCCUUUAUCUGUCUGGAGUCGUAAGGGGGGGCCAGUAGUUCUUAA